rnacentral:lncRNA from 1 species
GACACCAAACUAUAGUUUGAUCAUCAAGUAUAUAUGAUUUUCCACUUGUAAAGUGUUUCAUUGGCUUGCAUUUAUUAUUAUUUUUCAUGACACGUUUAUUAUUUCUAUUAAAUAAAUGUGUUGGUUAUAUUAAUUUAUUUAUCUUCUUAACCUUUAUCUCUCUUUUUAAUAGCUUUUACUUUUUCACUUUUAAAUUCACAAUUUGUUGUAGAUCACAAUUAUUUGAAAUGUGUCGCUGCUUCUAAUUUGUCAUUAGCUUAGGAU